CCGGGCUUGUAAUGGCGUUUCCUGGGAGGAUAUAUAAAGGCUUGCAGCUGGCCAGGUUUACACAGUCAACGUGAAGAUAAGCUCCUCUCUCUCUGUCUCUCGUCUCGACUUUACCGCAGCCGGCGACAUGAAAGCUCUGUGUCUGUUGUUGAUUGUGGUGGUGGCCCUGACCGCCCUGAUAGGGUCUGCCAUAGCCAUGCCAGGCCCUGACGCCCUGGCUUUCCCGGACCCCUAUGCUGACCCACGCUGGAGGUAUCGCGGUGGAUUUGGUGGCUUUGGCGGGUUCCGUCGUGGCUUUGGCGGUUUCUACGGAUAAACAUGGACUGCCCCAGCUACCCCGGAGUCACCUCUAUGUUGACGAAUUCUGCGAGACACAGAACGAUGGAAAAAGUAUGAAAGAGCCAUGAAUGAAGACAAAAAACAUAUAUCCAGUCACGCAACCUGUUCUGCCUUAACAGCAAACACAGGUUCGGCAUCUUCAAUCUUUAAUCUUCAUCCUCCAUUUUAAGAUACCAAAUACCAGCCAGCAUUUUCACUCUGCAAUUUCUCCCACCUCAGCAUCUCUGAGAUUAUGCUCAUCUAACCUUCACAUAUCUGCGAUAGUUGGUCCGUGGAUAUCAUUUCAUUGUUCUGUUGCAAACAAAUAUAAACAAAGAUAAUAAAAAAAUAUAUACUG